ensembl:lncRNA
CGGGUCGCCCGUGUGGAAGGACCCGAGAGGUUGAAGGGGUGGGGGCGAGGGGGGUGUGCUGGGAGAAAUGUCGGCUGUGGGGAACGAAGCCGCAGGUUCUAAAGGGUCAAGCUCAAAGGCCUGGCGCGGGGAGGUGAAAGCAGGACAGAGAAUUGAUUCCGGGGGCCUGGAGCAGAGCUUGACAGCUACGAAGUACUCCACAAAUAUUUGUUGAAAGAUUUUAGCGAGUAACAACACCCACCCGUUUUUGCAGCUGUUUGUCUCCUGAGCCUGGGCACAGUCCACGGCUGCAACGAUCUCCAGGGGAGAGGAAAUACGUAAAGAAGUGUCUUCUUUAAAGAAGAAAAACUUGAGAACCAAGAAGUUUACUACAAAAUUGGAACCUUCCCUUGAGGAGGGGUCUUUCCUGGUGGCUCAGACAGUAAAGACUCUGCCUGCAAUGCAGGUCCCUGCAUUGGGAAGAUCCCCUGGAGAAGGGAAUGGCUACCCACUCCGGUAUUCUUGCCUGGAGAAUUCCAUGGACAGAGGAGCCUGGCGGGCUGCAGUUCAUGGGACCUCAGAAGAGUUGGACACAGCUGAGUGACUUUUCUCUCUAGACAACAACCACAAUGGGUCUCACCUUAGAUUAAAUUAAAGACAUCAUCAAGGCAGGGUGAAACAUUAGAUAAGAUUUUGCUAUCUGUGGAAGGAAAACAUACAGAAAAACUUUACCUGGAGAAAUGUGUCAUGAAUCUGGGCAAGAUAUAACUUCUCCUUGUGGACCAAAGGGAUGGCAACC